GCGCAUUAUUUCGUUGCUUUUCGGCAAAUAAGAGAUGACAGUUUCUCACCAAAUUUUUGCACAAUAACAGCUAAGCAUGCAAUCAACGCAAAAAUAAAGACACAUUGACAUGCACUGAACGGUUUUUUAAAACCAUUUUCCUUCUCUAAGAUAUUCACGCCGAAAGCGACCGGCCUACAUGAAAAAAUUAUAGAGUAUUUGCUGUGCUUGUGUUAAUUUCUGUAGGGUUUUGGGUGUUGAAAAAUCGAUUUUUUACUUACAUUUUCUAUCAUUAUAAUGUUUUAAAACGAAGCGAAAAACUGAUUUUUGACUUCAAAAUUCGCCCUUUCCUGAAAAAUCAAUAUUUUUACGUCUAUUUUCGUUCAAUCCCAGGCAAAAACUAUCUACUAAUGAAUGCCGUUGGAUUUUUUUAUUUCAGCAAACGAAGACAAGAACGAGAAUCAAGUGGUUGGGAAUGGCGAUACUAACAUCCAGAAAAAUGUUGAGGAAAUCAAUGAAGUAUAGAAUGACUAUAACGAACAACAUGAGAUGGAAAAAAAACUCGAAAUUAGGAACCCUAAUGAAUAAGCAUUCUGAAGAGAAACCCAAAAUUGAAAAUGUGACAUUUCGUUGUCUUCAAAAACAGAUUCUUCGACAAUGGAUAAGAGGUCGUGAAAAUGAUCGGAUCGAUUGAAAAAUCUUUUCAAAAAUCAUUAAAAAGAUUCAAAAGAAGAAUGACGAAGAAAGUGAAUAAACGUAUUCGAGGAUUAGAGAAAACCAUCGUUAUCCGCGCAAAUACACUAAAAAUUGUUGAAACUAAUAACCAAAUGGCCAUUUUACAAAUCAUAUUCCAUAUGGAAGAGAUUAGAAAAUGAUAAUGACUGAGGCUAUUCGUCGAUGUGCAACAGUUAAAGAAGCACCUUCUGCAAGUUUAACCGGAGUCAAAUUACUACGUAAUUUUGCAUGAGAGACGUGAUUCUCGAUUAAUUUAACGAAACGACAUCUAAACCUUAUCAGAUUCUGAAGGAAUUAAGUCAUUGGCUAUCAGAAGCAGAGAUCGUGAAUGGGCAGGAAGAAAAAAAAAUGAAAACGCGUAAUUAAGAAAUAAGGACUUUUUAAUAAAAUACUUAAGUAUCUGCCAAACUAGGGCAAGGAAAACGCAGCAAGAAUCCGGGUAGCAUUCUAAGAUUUACAAACAGGACUGAGGUACGACCAGAAGGAUGUGAUUGGACACACUACAGUAUAGUUUAGGCGGGAAAAAUUAAUAGUUCCUUCAAGUUCCCUAAAGUAAAAAAGGCGUUCUUAA